rnacentral:lncRNA from 1 species
GAUCAUAGAGAGAUUGAAGAGGCCAAUCAAAUUCGCAUGCGCGCAAUAGAUGCCAUCCAUACCCUCUUGGGACUAUUGUAACAAACUUUAUUUUAAUUUUCAUAUAUCUUCUGCACUUGAUGGCUAUCUUUUCGUGAUGCAAAUACUUUAAUGCUCACACUGAAAUCAACUUAAAUGCAAACUGACUGCCCUUCUGCUGCUCUGUUUGAUUCACCAAUGGAUACCUCAUUCAAAGCAUUCCUUUUGACCGACCAUUCCACGCUUCAAAUGUUCAGAUUCCUUCAAAACUGCCUUAUAAAUACGAGCACCAAUGCCCCCCUUGAAAGCAUUCACAAAAUUGCACAAACUCUAUCCCUCCACAAGUUUCUCAAAUUAGACUGAAUCCAAACAACCAAGAUGGCUUCCUUUUCAUCAGUCAAUCAGGUACCACUCUGCAAUCUUGUUCUAAAUUGACUAUUCUGAAUCAAUUCUUAUAUGCAAUUUACGCUCUUUAUUCUCCCUUCUCUCAGGUGAACCCGGCGAAUAGUCAACUUGAGGCGAUCAUCCAAAUCCUCCAAUCCAACGAGAAGCUCUCCCAAGCAAACAAAGAUCUAAUCCGGAC